rnacentral:rRNA from 1 species
UACGUAGGGUGCGAGCGUUGUCCGGAAUUAUUGGGCGUAAAGAGCUUGUAGGCGGUUUGUCGCGUCUGCCGUGAAAGCCCAGGGCUUAACCCUGGGUCUGCGGUGGGUGACGGGCAGACUAGAGUGUGGUAGGGGAGACUGGAAUUCCUGGUGUAGCGGUGAAAUGCGCAGAUAUCAGGAGGAACACCGAUGGCGAAGGCAGGUCUCUGGGCCACUACUGACGCUGAGAAGCGAAAGCAUGGGGAGCAAACAGG